rnacentral:lncRNA from 1 species
UCAUAAUUAAAACCAUAAUCAUUUUAAAGUUGAUAAGCCUUAUGAAGAGAUAGAUAUAUACAUAUUGUCAUAACAUGUGAGUCAUGAAACUCAACCGUUCGAAGUGAAUCACCAUCAAUCUUUUUUGUUUAGGUGUGAUUGACCAACUAGGUGAAUCUAUUUUUUCUAGCAAGAUCCUAGGCUUAACUUAAGUUCAUUAAAAGAAUAGAUUCUGGCCUACAAAAUAGACUAGGUUCGGGAGUUCAGUUACAUGUGAGAAAGGUAUUAGCAUCCUCACAAUGCCCAUUUAAUUGGAACUUAAUUAGUUAUGUGUCAUCUUUUACCCUUUUUUAA